rnacentral:rRNA from 1 species
ACCUAGGAGUAUCCAGAGUAGCACCGGACACGUGAAACCUGGUGUGAAUACGUGCAGACCACUGCAUAAGGCUAAAUACAAGGUGUCGACCGAUAGUGAACAAGUACCGUGAGGGAAAGGUGAAAAGAACCCCUGUUAGGGGAGUUAAAAGUACCUGAAACCUGUUGCCUACAAGCGGUCGGAGCUCCGCAUGGAGUGACGGCGUACCUUUUGCAUAAUGGGCCUAGGAGUUUAUGUGAGUUGCGAGCUUAAGAGUUUACGACUUGGAGGCGAAGCGAAAGCGAGUUUGAAUAGGGCGCCAGUAACUUGCAUAACACCCGAAGCGGAGGCGAUCUAGCCAUGGCCAGGUUGAAGCAUCGGUAAUACGAUGUGGAGGACCGAACCCAUUAACCUUGAGAAGUUAAGGGAUGAGCUGUGGUUAGGAGUGAAAGGCUAAUCAAGCCCCGUAAUAGCUGGUUCUCUCCGAAAUAUAUUUAGGUAUAGCGCUCAAUGUUAAAGAUCGGGGGUAAAGCACUGAAAAGGCUAGGGUUCACACCAGAAUACCGAACCUUAUCAAACUCUGAAUACCGGUCGGGAAAAUUGAGUAGUCAGUCAGCGGGGGAUAAGCUCCGUUGGCGAGAGGGAAACACCCCAGACCAUCGAAUAAGGUCCCAAAGGCAGUACUAAGUGGCAAGAAGGAGGUAAAUUUUCUUAGACAAUGGGGAUGUUGGCUUAGAGGCAGCCAUCAUUUAAAAAGUGCGUAAUAGCUUACCCAUCGAGAGAGUUUGCGCCGAAAAUGAUCGGGACUAAAGUACUGCACCGAAUUUGUGGAAUUAGCAAUAAUUGGUAGGAGAGCGUUCCAACGACGUAGAAGCGUGAUUGAGAGAGAGCGUGGAGUUUUUGGAAGUGAGAAUCUAGGCAUGAGUAACGAAAAGUAUGGUCAAAAUCCAUACCGCCGUAAGGAUAAGGUUUCCUGGGGAAGGUUCGUCCGCCCAGGGUAAGUCGGGAGCUAAGGCGAGGCCGUAAGGAGUAGUCGAUGCACAAUAGGUUAAUAAUCCUAUACCUGCUUAAUGGUGUUCGAGUUGCAUAUUGACGAAUACGUGAAGUUCAGUCGGGUGAUGAACGUCCCGGUCUAAGGUUGUGAAAGCAGCUGGGGACCUUGAGGCUACGGCCGAAGGGGAUUGAAUGGAUGGUGUUCCGGGAAAAUUUAUGCGAUUAAUCAUUAGGUAGCCCGUACCGCAAACCGACACAGGUAUCCGGGAAGAGUAUUCUAAGGCGCGUGAGUGAAAUCUCCCCAAGGAACUCGGCAAAAUGGCCCCGUAUCUUCGGUAGAAGGGGUGCCAACGCGAGUUGGUCUCAGCAAAGAGGCCCAACCGACUGUUUAUCAAAAACACAGCUCUCUGCGAAGUCGCAAGACGACGUAUAGGGAGUGACACGUGACCAAUGCGGAAAGGUGAAAACUGCUUGUUAACGCUUGUGGUCUAAGCCCCCGUGAAUGUCGGCCGUAACUAUAACGGUCCUAAGGUAGCGAAAUUCCUUGUCGGGUAAGUUCCGACCUGCACGAAUCGUGUAACGAGUUGGGUGCUGUCUCAGGGAGAAGCUCAGUGAAAUUGUAGUCGCGGUUAAGAUGCCGCGUACCCGCAGAAGGACGGAAAGACCCUAUGAACCUUUACUAUAAUUUGAUAUUGGCGUUUGAUUUUCAAUACGUAGGAUAGCCGGGAGGCUUAGAAGUUGCACUUCAGGGUGCGACAGAGCCGCAAUGUGAAAUACCGGUUUUUGCCAAUUAGGCGUCUAACCGCAAGCCAUAAGCUGGCUGUGGGACAGUGUUAGAGGGUUAGUUUGACUGGGGCGGUCUCCUCCUAAAAAGUAACGGAGGACUGCGAAGGUUCCCUCAGACCGGAUGGUAAUCGGUCGGCGAGGAUAUGGCUAAAAGGGAGCUUAACUGUGAGACCUACAAGUCGAGCAGAUGGGAAACCAGGCCCAAGUGAUCCGGCGAUAGCUCGUGGGAGCGUCGUCGCUUAUGGGAUAAAAGGUACUCUAGGGAUAACAGGCUGAUUUCGCCCAAGCGUUCAUAGCGACGGCGAAGUUUGGCACCUCGAUGUCGGCUCAUCACAUCCUGGGGCUGUAGUAGGUCCCAAGGGUUUGGCUGUUCG